CAAGAUGCCAGUGUUUAGAAGAAAAAUGGAGCCCCUUUAGAAACGUGAAGCUGCCGAGAUAAUGACUGCGAUCUCCCGAAGACUGGAUGGGAACAGCAAAACCAUCUUCCCAAAUCUCAGCCCUGUUGGAAAACCAUCUGGCUUUUCCCUUGCCUGGGUCUUCUGCGAGCAGCAGCUAAUUACUCGAAAGGGUGGGCUGCGAAGGAUUUUUGCAUCAUUGCAAGAAUACAGCCCCUAUUAUUCUACAUGCCAUGCGGCCUUUUAGAGAAUUAAAAAGGCAUAACGAGAAACAUCUUACCCUGCUCUGAAGGAAAAUAAACUACGGUGAAGUUUCUCCGUUCAUCUCAAAAGAAAAUGCCAGGCAAAGCAUAAGGAAGGGACAACUUUCCUCUCUCUGACUAGAAAAUGAGAGGGAAGUUUGUGAGAGAGGAAAGACACCGAGGAGGAGGAGGAAGAAACCAGCAUUUUUCACAACUAGUGUUUCUAGCUUUGGGAAGUUUGGGUUGGGAAGUUUGAAGAAGUUUCCCAUUUCUCUUAAGGACGUGUGGAACAAAAAGCUGAAAACAACAUGG